rnacentral:rRNA from 1 species
GUUGAACGCUGGCGGCGUGCCUAAUACAUGCAAGUCGAGCGAACAGAUGAGGAGCUUGCUCCUCUGACGUUAGCGGCGGACGGGUGAGUAACACGUGGAUAACCUACCUAUAAGACUGGGAUAACUUCGGGAAACCGGAGCUAAUACCGGAUAAUAUAUUGAACCGCAUGGUUCAAUAGUGAAAGACGGUUUUGCUGUCACUAAUAGAUGGAUCCGCGCCGCAUUAGCUAGUUGGUAAGGUAACGGCUUACCAAGGCAACGAUGCGUAGCCGACCUGAGAGGAUGAUCGGCCACACUGGAACUGAGACACGGUCCAGACUCCUACGGGAGGCAGCAGUAGGGAAUCUUCCGCAAUGGGCGAAAGCCUGACGGAGCAACGCCGCGUGAGUGAUGAAGGUCUUCGGAUCGUAAAGCUCUGUUAUUAGGGAAGAACAAAUGUGUAAGUAACUAUGCACGUCUUGACGGUACCUAAUCAGAAAGCCACGGCUAACUACGUG